AUGUUGGUGCACUGCCCACCAUCACAGAUAUCUGGGUUGUUUUCACAUUCAUCAAUGUCUAAAGGAAAAUUUUAUCACUGUGAAAUUCUGAACAGAUGGACAGAGCGAGGGCCGCAGGGGGCAGAGACUUUCAACACAAUGCUUUCUGCUACCAGCAAUCAGAAGGGAGACCGCAAUCAACCACGAUCAACAGCGUUUACUCAGGGAUAAACCAAUCGAUCACGAUCGACCUGUUGGACAUCGCUGGACUUAAGGAUUCCGCACAAGGCCUGACUAAGAGCUCCCAGGUCACACCUGUAAAAUGUUAUGGAGCAUUACCUCUUCCAUCCACUGUAAUUCCCACGCCACUGCUACACAGACCACGGAACUCAGCUUCUCAUACGAAAACAAAAAAGGUAGAAAAACGUAAGAAAAAUAAGUUAAGUAAUACUAUGUUUUAAUACCAUGUUACCUCAACUACUGCCGAUUCAAAUGGCAUGUUAUUUAACAUUUGCAAGCACUGUGGAAGGAAAUAACAGUCAUGACUAGGGAAGAAUGGCAAGCCAGUCCAGUCUGCUGGACUAUGCUGAAAUGGCAAAACUGACCGGGAGACUAGGGAACCAAGAAGAUACUUUUUUAAAAGAAUGGGAAAAUUCAUAACUUACUUAGGAAACCAUUGCAAACAGAUAAAAACGUUAGCUGAACUUUAAAAACCACUUGUGAAGAAAUGAAAGAUAUGGACAAUUUAGAGAAAUGAAAAUUGUGGAGAAUGUACGAAUAUGUAGUUUUAGAAAGAUUAUUAUAAGGACCCAUGUAGGGGACGGAUGGGGGGGGUCACAAGAUCCAGGGAACCUCAUAAAUUGAUAUGUUAAAGGUUUUUUCUUUUAAAAAAAACACUUUAAACUUGUUUUCAUAAAAACCAAUAAAAAAGAUUUCAAAAAAAAAACAACCACGAAAACAUUUGCAAGUACUGUAAGGUUUUUUUUUAUCGUUUAUGUACUUAUUAAAUUUAUAUCCCACCCUUCCUCCCAAAGGAGCCCAGGGCAGCCGACAAGUGAUAAAACAAAGAAAACAUCUUUAAAACAAUUCCAAUACAGAUGUAAAGUGGGAAAGAUCUCUACCUAAAAGGCUCAUUGGACGACAAAGGUCUUCAGUAGGCAAGAAAAAGACAACUGAGACAAAACCUGUCUAGUUUUCAAAGUACAGUGCCACAACACUGAAAGCCUGAUUACUACAUUGUACAGAACAGAGUAUCCACCCUAAUCUGCAGGGUGCAGUGAUCUAUUGGUGAGAUUAUAUUUUGGGUAUCCUGGUUCCCAUCUGUAUAUGACUUUAUACACAAAACCAGCACCUUGAACUUAGCCCAGUAGCUAACUGGCAGUCUGUGCAAUUCUUUUAACAGCAGGGUAAAGGUAAAGGGUAAAGGGACCCCUGACCAUUAGGUCCAGUCGUGGC